rnacentral:rRNA from 1 species
UACGAAGGGUGCAAGCGUUACUCGGAAUCACUGGGCGUAAAGCGUGCGUAGGCGGUUCGUUAAGUCUGCUGUGAAAGCCCUGGGCUCAACCUGGGAACUGCAGUGGAUACUGGCGGACUAGAGUGUGAUAGAGGAUGGUGGGAUUCCCGGUGUAGCGGUGAAAUGCGUAGAGAUCGGGAGGAACACCAGUGGCGAAGGCAGCCCCCUGGGCUAGCACUGACGCUCAGGCACGAAAGCGUGGGGGAGCAAACAGG